rnacentral:rRNA from 1 species
AGAUUGAACGCUGGCGGCAUGCCUUACACAUGCAAGUCGAACGGCAGCACGGGGGCAACCCUGGUGGCGAGUGGCGAACGGGUGAGUAACAUAUCGGAACGUGCCCUGGAGUGGGGGAUAACUAGUCGAAAGAUUAGCUAAUACCGCAUACGAUCUACGGAUGAAAGUGGGGGAUCGCAAGACCUCAUGCUCGUGGACGCGGCCGAUAUCUGAUUAGCUUAGGUUGGGUGGGGUAAACGGCCUACCGAAGGCAUCGAUCAGUAGCGUGGUCUAGGAGAGGACCGACCACGCCCACACGUGGACUGAACGACC